CAAAUGCGAUAAUUAAUGUGAAUUGCAGAAUUCAGUGAAUCAUCGAGUCUUUGAACGCACAUUGCGCCCCCUGGUAUUCCGGGGGGCAUGCCUGUCCGAGCGUCAUUGCUGCCCUCAAGCACGGCUUGUGUGUUGGGCUUCCGUCCCUGGCAACGGGGACGGGCCCAAAAGGCAGUGGCGGCACCAUGUCUGGUCCUCGAGCGUAUGGGGCUUUGUCACCCGCUCCCGUAGGUCCAGCUGGCAGCUAGCCUCGCAACCAAUCUUUUUAACCAGGUUGACCUCGGAUCAGGUAGGGAUACCCGCUGAACUUAAGC
rnacentral:misc_RNA from 1 species